rnacentral:lncRNA from 1 species
UUGAUUUUACUGAAACUUUCUCCCCAGUGAUAAAAAUGACUUCUGUAAAGUGCCUUAUUGCUGUGGCUGUCAAGAAUCACUGGCCUCUUUUUCAGCUGGAUGUGAAUAAUGCCUUUCUUCAUGGUGAUUUGGAUGAGGAUGUUUACAUGAAACUCCCUCCAGGUUUGAUUGUCUCCCCAUUUUCUGAUGAUUCUGGUUCUUCUUCUUCUUCUGCUGUUUCUCCUCCUCUGGUCUGCAAACUCAAAAAAUCUUUGUAUGGGCUGAGACAAGCAUCCAGACAGUGGUAUGCCAAAUUGUCUUCUGCUCUCUAUUCCAGAGGGUAUUCUCAUUCUUUGAACGACUACUCCUUAUUCCUCAAGGGUAAACCUGGCUCUUUUGUGGUGGUCGCUGUCUAUGUGGAUGAUAUAAUUCUCACUGGGGAUGACAGUGAUGAACUGGCUGCUCUGAAACUAUUUUUGGAUGCACAGUUUAAAAUCAAGGAUUUAGGGUCCUUGCAUUAUUUUUUGGGCCUUGAGAUGUCUGCUGUCCCUGGUGGGAUGAACCUCAAUCAGGUAUAUCUCUGAUUUGUUGCAACAGUUUGACUGUGUCAAUGUGUCCUCUGUUGUGUUCCCUUUGGACAUUAAUGCCAAACUCCAUGUUGAUUCUGGUGCCCUCUUGCCCUCUCCUGAUCAGUACAGGAGCCUCGUUGGUAAGAUGCUCUUCUUGACUCACACUAGGCCUGACAUCUGUUAUGCAGUCCAGCACCUGAGUCAAUUUCUCAAAUCCCCCAGACUUCCACAUAUGNNNNNNNNNNNNNNNNNNNNCUGUUGUGUACCCUUUGGACAUCAAUGUCAAACUCCAUGCUGAUACUGAUGCCCUCUUGCCCUCUCCUGAUCAGUACAGGAGCCUCGUUGGUAAGAUGCUCUUCUUGACUCACACUAGGCCUGACAUCUGUUAUGCAGUCCAGCACCUGAGUCAAUUUAUCAAAUCCCCCAGACUUCCACAUAUGACUGCUGCCCUGCAUGUUCUUCGUUACCUCAAAGGCACACCCUACUUGGGCUUGUUUUAUUCUGAUCAUGCUGACUUUUCUGUGGCUGGGUAUUCCGAUAGUGACUGGGCUGCCUGCCC